rnacentral:rRNA from 1 species
GAUGAACGCUGGCGGCGUGCUUAAUACAUGCAAGUCGAACGAAGAGCCUUUGUAGCAAUACAGGGGUUUCUUAGUGGCGAACGGGUGCGUAACGCGUUGGUGACCUGCCCCAAAGUGUGGGAUAACAGUUCGAAAGGAUUGCUAAUACCGCAUGUGGUCAUAGGGUUUAGAAGACGAUGACUACAGCAGUAAUGCGCUUUGGGAGGGACCUGCGUACCAUCAGCUAGUUGGUGAGGUAAUGGCUUACCAAGGCUUCGACGGGUAGGGGACCUGAGAGGGUGGUCCCCCACACUGGCACUGAAACACGGGCCAGACACCUACGGGUAGCAGCAGUAGGGAAUAUUGGGCAAUGGGCGAAAGCCUGACCCAGCAACGCGGCGUGCACGAUGAAGGUCUUCGGAUCGUAAAGUGCUUUUCUGAGAGAUGAGAAAGGACAGUAUCACAGGAAUAAGUCUCGGCUAACUACGUGCCAGCCGCCGCAGUAACAC